rnacentral:sRNA from 1 species
CUGUAGCCCUGAUGGCAGGGGAAAUCCUUUUUGGUUAAGGAUAUAUUGUUUGAUCAGCAGGGAUAUUCAAAAAGAUUGCAGCGGCCUGCAGUACUGAAU